GGGGCCUGGCAGAAAACGUCCUCAAAGCUAUGGGGAAACGGAUUGCCCCAGACAGGGUCCUGGGACCGGAAAUUCCAAAACCUAUCGCGUUGCGAUGGGAGGAAAUAUUCAAACAAGGUCUGCCACCAGAGCUCAAGACCGGAAGAGCGCCGUG
rnacentral:lncRNA from 1 species